rnacentral:sRNA from 1 species
GAGCUGGCUGGGAGGUCAGUCACCCAGUUGGUUACCACAGUUGAGAAGGAGGACCUUGCUGGCAGGUGACGUCUUCUUCCU